rnacentral:rRNA from 1 species
UACGUAGGGGGCGAGCGUUGUCCGGCUUUAUUGGGCGUAAAGAGCGUGUAGGCGGCCAGGUAGGUCUGCUGUGAAAACUCGAGGCUCAACCUCGAGACGUCGGCGGAAACCAUCUGGCUAGAGUCCGGAAGAGGAGAGUGGAAUUCCUGGUGUAGCGGUGAAAUGCGCAGAUAUCAGGAAGAACACCCGUGGCGAAGGCGGCUCUCUGGGACGGUACUGACGCUGAGACGCGAAAGCGUGGGGAGCGAACAGG